GCUAUACACCGAAAUUGCGGAUUUACACUUGAAAGAUAGUGUAAGUGGUAGAGGAGCAUUCUGUAGUAGGGAGAAGCAAAAGCGAGAGCAUUUGUGGACGAGGCAGAAGAGAGAAUGCUGGAAUAAGUAGCGAGAGCAAGGUGAGAAUCCUUGCCGUCGAAAGUCUAAGGUUUCCUGGGGAAGGUUCGUCCGCCCAGGGUAAGUCGGGACCUAAGGUGAGGCUGAAAAGCGUAGCCGAUGGAUAGCAGGUUGAGAUUCCUGCACUAUAGAUAUACUUAAAAGAUGCAAGGGACGCAGGAGUGGAAGAUAAGCGAGGAAGAGGAAAGACUCGUAUCGCAAGAUAUAGUGAAAAUAAAGUAACGAAUUAUCAAGAAGCACACUGACGAGAAAAGCUUGUAGAUAUUGUAUAUAAAUACCCGUACCGCAAACCGACACAGGUAGAUGAGGAGAGGAUCCUAAGACGAGCGGGAGAAGCAUUGUUAAGGAACUCGGCAAAUUGACCCCGUAACUUAGGGAGAAGGGGUGCCAAGGUAGAACUUGGCCGCAGUGAAGAGGUUCAAGCAACUGUUUAACAAAAACACAGGUUUCUGCUAAAUCGAAAGAUGAAGUAUAGGAGCUGACGCCUGCCCAGUGCUGGAAGGUCAAAGGGAAGUGUUAGUAAAAACUUACGAAGCACAGAACUCAAGCCCCAGUGAACGGCGGCCGUAACUAUAACGGUCCUAAGGUAGCGAAAUUCCUUGUCAGGUAAGUUCUGACCCGCACGAAAGGCGUAAUGAUUUGAACACUGUCUCGACAAUGUACCCGGCGAAAUUGUAGUACUAGUGAAGAUGCUAGUUACCUGCGACAAGACAGAAAGACCCCAUGGAGCUUUACUGCAGCUUGAUACUGGGUUUUGGUAAUUUAUGUACAGGAUAGGUGGGAUACGAAGAAGCAAGUGCGCCAGCAUUUGUGGAGUAGACGUUGGGAUACCACUCUUAAAUUAUUGAAAUUCUAACCUGUGAUCAUGAACUGGUCAGGGGACAAUGUCAGGCGGGCAGUUUGACUGGGGCGGUCGCCUCCUAAAGAGUAACGGAGGCGCCCAAAGGUUUCCUCAGCACGGACAGAAAUCGUGCAAAAGAGUGUAAAGGCAGAAGGAAGCUUAACUGGGAGACUGACAAGUCGAGCAGAUACGAAAGUAGGGCUUAGUGAUCCGGCGGUAGUGAGUGGAAAUGCCGUCGCUCAACGGACAAAAGUUACCCUGGGGAUAACAGGCUUAUCUCCCCCAAGAGUUCACAUCGACGGGGAGGUUUGGCACCUCGAUGUCGGCUCAUCGCAUCCUGGAGCGGAAGUACGUUCCAAGGGUUGGGCUGUUCGCCCAUUAAAGCGGUACGCGAGCUGGGUUCAGAACGUCGUGAGACAGUUCGGUCCUUAUCUGUCGCAGGCGUAGGAUAUUUGAAGGGAGCUGUCCUUAGUACGAGAGGACCAGGAUGGACAUACCGAUGGUGUAUCAGUUGUCACACCAGUGGCACGGCUGAGUAGCUAAGUAUGGAAGGGAUAAACGCUGAAAGCAUCUAAGUGUGAAGCCCACCUUAAGAUAAGAUAUCCCAUUGCGUGAAGCAAGUAAGAUCCCAUGAAGACUACAUGGUAGAUAGGUUGGGGGUGUAAGUACAGUAAUGUAUUAAGCUGACCAAUACUAAUAGAUCGAGGGCUUAACCAC
rnacentral:rRNA from 1 species